ensembl:lncRNA
AUGCAGCGUCUCUGGCUUGCGCUGGAUCUGCAAUGGAACGGUCCCCUGAUGGACAUCACAGUGAUUGCUGGGAAGUUUGAUGAAGUGUACCUGCGACACUGGAUCUGCAUCGAAAACAAUCCUGAGAUAUUGGACAAGUUCGCAGUCCUGCACAUAGAGGACUGUGGAGAUGAUGUGGAAAAAGUGUCCCAGGUCACAUCGUCCCAUGUCAAGCUGUCUGAGCCUGUUUUCUCUCUAAAAAUGCUCCUGGUGAGAUGGGGUUGUCGAUUCGAAGUUGACUGUAACGUGUUGAUAUACAAGACCAACACAGACUUCCUCACGCUCCAUGUGUACCUGAUCCCACGUGAUCUGGGUCUGCAGCAGGAAUUGGACAAGAGGAUGUUGUCCUAUGGAUACAAACUCAUCCGAAAGCCACACCCAGAGAAGUCCCUGAAAAUGAAGGAUUGUUUCAUCUUAACCGCAGAUUUGGAAAAAGCAGAGAUUUCUCCUGAGCUCUCGAGAACCGUGACGUACAGACGUUUCCUUUCUCCAGC